CACCACUAGUGCACCCGAGUCAGAAGACACAAAAUCGCCUAAGCGGCAGGUGCUCGGGUGAGGGCUGUGUCCAUCUUGCUGCUGAUGGGGUGGUUAGAAAGCCAUCCCAGGGGAAGGCAUUCUUUCUAACAGCCUAAAUUGGAGGGAGAAGGAGAAGGGAGAAGCAGUGAGGCCCUGGAGAGACCAGCCCUUCCUCAAUGCAGCCUCUGUGGAACCAGGAGCCCCCAACAUAGAUGCUGGGUUCAGGUGAGUCGGGAGGAAGGGCUGUGGGAGGGCCUAGGCACAGCCUGCACUGAGCUUCACAACACAGUCAUAGGCAGUGUGGCUAGGGGCCUCUCUGCACACCCUGGGGUUGGACCCCUACAGGAGGAGCUGGCCCUGGACCCUCCCUGGGGUCCAUGGCCAGCUCCCACCAGACCUAGGGUGCCAGGACACCCCUAGACUAUUCUUCACUGCAUCCCUGAUCCUCAUCUCUGAAUCACCCUUUGAUGAAGCCCCACUUCCUGUCUCACCCCACUGUAACUGGACUAUGCCUUCUACCAUUGUGUUCUCUCAUCCCCUGGCUCUGAGAAAGUCACAGAGGCAGCAAUGGGGAGGGUAAGAGCUCUACUGUGGGCCCAGCCCUGAUUCACACGUAAGGCCCUAAUUGCCUGAUAACCCUACCAGGGACAGCAGGACAUCCCUGAGCCUCUCACCCACCCUGCAGACCAUCCUGAACUACUGCCCUGGGCUGAGCUUGGGGGUCCUGGGAGCCAUGGAGCCAGCCCUUCUCUCCAAGGCUCCCAGUCAGGGGCAGGGAGCUGCCAUGGAAUCUCACAAACUUUGAUUACUUAUUUAAAUACGAGUAACACGCGUUUAGUGCACAGAAA
rnacentral:lncRNA from 1 species